ensembl:lncRNA
CAAUGAUUUGCAAAUUUCAAAAACCCAUAUUCACAGUAGAACAUAGAACACAUCAAAUGUUUAAAAUGAGUAAAUGUACCAUUUUAAGAAAAAAAUAAGGUAAUUUUGUGUUUGGAAAAGUAAGCGUUACUAAAAAGAAACAGCUGGAGGUUAAUUGGCAAAAGGUCAGUAACAUGAUUGGGUAUAAAAAGAGUAUCUUAGAUGGGCAGAGUCUUUCAGAAGUAAAGAUGGGCAGAGGAUCACCAAUCUGCAAAAAACUGUGUCUACAAUUUGUGGAACAAUUUCAGAAUAAUGUUCCUCAAUGUAAAAUUGUGAAGACUGAAAAUCUCAUCAUCUUCAGUACAUAAUAUCAUCAAUAGAUUCUGAGAAUCUGGAGAAAUCGCUGUGCACAAGGGACAAGGGUGAAAAUCAAUAUUGCAUGCCCGUGAUUUUCGGGCUCUCAGGCAACAUUAAAAACAGGCAUGAUUCUGUAAUGGAAAUCACUGCAUGGGCUCAGAAACACUUCCAGAACUCAUUGUCUGUGAAAACAGUUUGCUGUGCUAUCCACAAAUGCUAGUUAAAGCUCUAUCAUGCAAAGAAGAAGUCACAUGUGAACAUGAUCCAGAAAUGCAACCGUCUUCUCUGGGCCAAAACUCAUUUAAAAUGGACCGAGGCAAAGUGGACAACUGUUCUGUGUUCAGACUAAUCGAAAUAUGAAUUUCUUUUUGUAAACCACGGACGUGGCGUCCUCUAAACUAAAGAGGAUUAAAGAGGAGAGGGACCAUCAGGCUUUUUAUCAGUGCUCAGUUUAGAAGCCUGCAUCUCUGAUGGUAUGGGGUGCAUUUGUGCCUAUGGAAUGGGCAGCUUGCACAUAUGGAUAGGCAACAUCAAUGCUGAAAGGUAUAUACAGGUUUUAGAGCAACAUAUGCUUCCAUACCAGAUUCCAUCCCAUCUUUACUUCUGAGAGCCUCUGCCUCUUGAAGAUAUUCUUUUAUACCCAAUCAUGUUACUCACCUGUUGCAAAUUAACCUAAUUAGUUGUAAAAUGUUCCUCCAGCUCUUUCUUUUUAGUAACACUUACUUUUCCAGCCUUUUGUUGCCCCGUCCCAACUUUUUUGAGACGUGUUGCAGCUAUCAAAUUCAAAAUUACUUUAUUGUUUCCUUAAAAUGGUACAUUUCCUAACUUUAAACAUUUGAUAUGUUUUCCGUGUUCUAUUCUGUUCUAUAAUAUGUGAAUAGCAUAUGGGUUUAUGAGAUUUGCAAAUCAUUGCAUUCUGUUUUUAUUUACAUUUUACAAAGCAUCCCAACUUUUUUGGAAUUGGGGUUGUAUAGAUAGCCCUCGAUAGUUGUCAAGUAAGAUGUUCUCAUCUUCAUUGGAGCCUGCAUGAUGGUAUCGCCCAUCUUUCAUUAGUAAAACUGGGAGGGCUUUAUUUCCAGUUCACAUGAGAAUGACAAAAGACUAGAAUAUUAUUGAGGAAAAAAGAGCUUCUCCCACAGGGACAUGGGAAAGGAAGCAGGGACAUGGGAAAAGUCCAGCUGCUCAGGGUUUGUAAUUGCGAAAGACAGUUUCAUUCCCAUUGAUAACACAACAGACUGCCAGAGGGCUUCACUAAGGUCUUUAACAACAGCAAGUACCCCCUUGGUAUUACCAUACAUACUGAGGAAAUCUUCCUUUUAAGUUUUUCACAGGUGAAUUGAAGUAAUUAUACAUCCAAAGCCAAGCCUAGCCUAAAAGUGUGGAGACAAAGCGCACAUCAUGACCUCGUUGAUUUCCACCACUUUAAUCAUGUGCUUAGCAGUCGCAGCGCUUGAUGGAUCAGAUGCUUUGCUCUGCGACAGGGCCACAUUUGAUUAUGGAGUGCACAAUUACUGUCUACUUGACUACAAGCAACACAUGGCAGCCAGCAACUACCAGGAAGAAUGUCCAUGGCCCAACACUCAACACUACUACUAUUAUUUGGACAACUGUUUCCAACAUAUGGUAGACAUCACAGCAUGCAGUGAGCCUUCUCUGAAGAACAAGAUCUUUUUGGAUCUCCACCGCACAUAUUUUUUUCACUGCCACUUCCUGAAGGACCCUGAUGUGCCUGUGCUGCUGUUGUUUAUGCUGCCCUGCAUCAUCGUUACUUUUGUCUUCUCCUUUCUCUGUAGCUACAUCACCCCCAAGGAAUAAUGCAUCCAUGAUUAACUCACAUUGCUACAAAGACUCUUGUUAGAUUAGGAUUACUAUGAAACAUUCUGAUACAUUUAUGUGACUGACUGACACUCCAAGAUUUGAACACCUACUUAUUAUUAUCUUGUUUUUAGCAGACAAACUGGAAUUAAAUGUAUUUGUAAGAAAAAUGUAUUAGUGUCACUGUUUUAAUCUCAGGUAAAUGUCAGUUCCCAAAUGUAAACUCUUUAUAAGUCAUUUCUGACCAUUAACUUGUUCAUUUUAACUCGCUGAGUUUUGUUGACAAUCAAUUUCUCAUAGUCUCAUAUUGGUCGGUACAAAGGCAUAACCAAGUUGAUUUGUUCACAAGAUGGAUGACUUUUAGGAGUGCCAAUCUUAUUCAUUAGCACACUGCAGUUUUGAAAAUUGUCAUUAAAUUGUAAUAGUACCACCUGUAAUGGGACAUUCGUACAAAGGACCAGUACCAAACCACAGAGAGUAUGUUUGCUUUGCACAACCCUCCACAUUAAGUAUUUUGAGGACUUAAUAGGUUAAUUUUUUUGUUACUCCUAUAAUAGAAAGAGCAAUUUUACAACACAAUAGGCUUAAAACAAUGUAUGUUGAAACACAUCAUAAAUAUUUAUUUUGAGACAAAAAAAUAACAAUUUGUUUAACAGUGGUUUGAAAACAUUUUUUUUUUUUUUUACAGUAAUAGUAGUUUCUACUGCUAUUAAAAUAUCCACAUAACAUCAUUAUUUCUUUCAGUAUUGCUAAAGCUAAAGUAAUACAUUACUUAUCAUAAGAACUUGUUUGCCUUUUUUUUUGACAAACUAUACCUCUUACCAUAGUUACAACAAGGCAACACUGAGUUAUAAAAGUGGUCUGUUUGGGACUGACAACAUUUAGACAUGAUUUAAGGAUAACAUGACACAUGGGUGCUGAAUGUAUGGAAAGUAAACAUUUAUACAUUAUAUGCUCUACAGUUGAAAACAAUGGAAACUAGCAGGUGAUAUUUAUAGGUUCGACAAUUUUACAGUUAAGUCAAUUUGCCAACAACCAGAAUAUUACAUUGGUGUGCGGUCAUUGUACUUUCAUAGGAAAAGCAUUAAUUGUCUUUGCUGAGAGCAGUCUAUUAUAUUGACCAGAUCUCAAUGAUCUGAUCAUUAAUUCAGUAACAUCUGAUUGAGUAAACCAAGCUGAAUGGAGCAUUUGAAUGUCUGGUGUCUAUAAGGGUUGCAAUAAAUAAAUAUUAUAAUAAAUAUUGUCUUAUUGAUACUUUUUAUUUUAUCACAUCAUCUCAUUUUCUUAAACUUAUUUUUACUAAGUUAGUACUGCUUCCAAACUUUAGCCAGUAGUGUAUGUCUCAGUACAAUCAUUUAAAUGUUUUUUUUUACUCCCCCCCACCCACCCUUUUUUAAAAAAAAUUUGUGCGGUAAACAUGCUAUAAAUAAGUGGCAUCUGUUUAAGGUCUAUGGUACAGAAAGAAAGAAAAAAAAUGUUUAUCAUGUGUAGGGAUGCAUCAAUGCCGAUAAUGGUAUCUGAUAUUGGUUGCUUAUUUACUUAUACUUGUAUAAAAUAAAAACGUCUCUUACGUGAUGUUAUGUAUAUUACGUAUGUUAUGUAAGUGUACUGUAUGUUGUCAUGCUAAUGAACAGCUGACACAAUCUGGAUGUUUUUCAUGAUUAAUGAUGGCAAUCAAAGCAGUGCAGAUUACAAACUGUACUCUGCAAAAAAUCAAGAGAAGGACCUACAGCAUCUUCCUACUACACAAGUAAUCUGAUAAAACAUUUUAUGGCAUUUAAAUAGUAUCUUUAAUAGAGAGCACCAGAGGGGCUGACCUGAACACGCACAGCAGUAUCAGAAAGUGUGGUCAUUACCACUGACCUCCAGAUGCUGUGAAUUGUCACAUAUGAGAUUUCAGUUCUGCGAGCACUGAGACACACACACAGUUCCUUGUGUCAGCGCCUAUAACUACACUUGAAACUUGUGAGUCACGCUAUUGCUCUGUGCACUCAGGUCAACUGUCUUCUAGCUCUCUAUUAAAGAAACUGCUUAAAUAACAUAACCGCUUCAGGAUUAACCUCAGCUGUAUUCAAAGCCAGUUCAAUGCUGGCAGCACAUGAUGCUUCUGAUUGAUUUUUUAAUAAGUUACUCAUUUUUGAAAAAAUUCCUUCAUGUUUGACAGUAAAAAUGUGCUUUAAAAUAUGGUAUGUAAAAACAUUUCUUCUUAUAGGGCACAGAAUAACACAACAAGCUUUGCUUUGAGAAAAAACCUUGCGAACAAUUCUAGCAAAUGAAAAUAUCUUGAAUAUAGUCAGAUUUAUUUAGUAUUUCCUAUUACAAAAUUACCAUAAUGCAAAUAUAAGAUUAUCAAACCUACGUCUAGACAUUUUUAUUAAUUUUAUUAAGGUUUUUUGUUAUUUUAUUGGAAAAUAAUUUGACAUCUUUCUAGAAAUAAAUGCUUUCAAUUUAAAAAAAAUGUCUGCCAGUGGAACAAAACAAGAUUAUUUCAAGCUUGAAAUGAAUGAAAUAUUUUUAUUUGUUGUAAUCCUAUAGGAAAUGUUACUAUAUUCAUGAGAUUUCCAGAUAUUUUCACAUCACUGCACAUAGGAUGUCAUUUAUUUGCAGUGCUAUGAGACAAUAUAUCCCCUUUGUCAGUUAGUUCUAGCUGAGGUUAAACCUGAUACAAACCUGGGUUACUUUCCAGAAAUGCAGCAGAUAUAUAAACUGCAAAUCACCUGGUGAUAAUUUGACCGAGUAACAAUGUUUUUGUGCACUUCCUUCCACUAAACCAUUUUAAUUAUUAAUUAGAAGUGAUAAAAUACAUCAGUAAACUGUUCAGUGUAGACAUGAGUUGUGACCUGUUUGAGGUAAAUGUAAACAAAAACUUUUUCACAGGCUCUCUUUAAAUACUAUUGAUGUUGUUAGGAUGCAGCCCUAGAGGCAAUUUUGACACUGUAGCCUAUAUUUUAAAACAGUAGUUCUCUGGAGGUUUUACCUCAGGG